rnacentral:rRNA from 1 species
GGGUAAUACUGUAUAAUCCCUGCGGGGGAAAGAUUUAUCGCUAUUAGAUGAGCCUAUGUUAGAUUAGUUGGUAGGGUAAAGGCCUACCAAGGCGAUGAUCUAUAGCUGGUCUGAGAGGAUGAUCAGCCACACUGGAACUGAGAUACGGUCCAGACUCCUACGGGAGGCAGCAGUGGGGAAUAUUGGACAAUGGGCGCAAGCCUGAUCCAGCUAUGCCGCAUGAGUGAGGAAGGCCUUAGGGUUGUAAAACUCUUUCAGUAGGGAAGAUAAUGACGGUACCUACAGAAGAAGUCCCGGCAAACUCCGUGCCAGCAGCCGCGGUAAUACGGAGGGGGCAAGCGUUGUUCGGAAUUAUUGGGCGUAAAGGGCAUGUAGGCGGUUCGGUAAGUUAAAGGUGAAA